rnacentral:tRNA from 1 species
AAAUGAAGUAAUAUAUAAAGGAAGUUUAUAAUUGAUUUGCAAUCAGUUUUUAUGGAAACAUACGAU